rnacentral:tmRNA from 1 species
GGGGAUGAUCCGGUUUCGACGGGGAUCACGAAGGCAGAAUAAGCGAGCCGCGGCCCCUGUACCGCGCAACAACGGGGAAAAACAAUAACUGACAACAGCAAUUUUGCUUUCGCGGCGUAAUGCCGCGCGUCGGCCCUGAGCGCCUGCGGCUCAGUCAGCCGGCGUCAUUGACGCAGGGAACGAGCUUCGCUUAAGCUUUGCGGCGAAGUCCGUAAUCAUGAAGCUACCUGCCCCGCAGCCUUUCCGCGGGCGGCGGAUGCAGGGAAACCAAAUCACGGAAUGCGCUCGGAGAAAGUUCUGCUGACGGUUCUUCGGACAGGGGUUCGACUCCCCUCAUCUCCACCA